GGUGAUGAGGAGCUUGCUUCUUUGAUCAGUGGCGAACGGGUGAGUAACACGUGAGCAAUCUGCCCUUGACUCUGGGAUAACUGCGGGAAACUGUAGCUAAUACCGGAUACGACCCUUGGAGGCAUCUCUGGGGGUGGAAAGAAUUUUGGUCAAGGAUGAGCUCGCGGCCUAUCAGCUAGUUGGUGAGGUAAUGGCUCACCAAGGCGACGACGGGUAGCCGGCCUGAGAGGGUGAUCGGCCACACUGGGACUGAGACACGGCCCAGACUCCUACGGGAGGCAGCAGUGGGGAAUAUUGCACAAUGGGCGCAAGCCUGAUGCAGCAACGCCGCGUGAGGGACGAAGGCCUUCGGGUUGUAAACCUCUUUUAGUAGGGAAGAAGUGACUGGGUUUUCCUGGAAGUGACGGUACCUGCAGAAAAAGCACCGGCUAACUACGUGCCAGCAGCCGCGGUAAUACGUAGGGUGCAAGCGUUGUCCGGGAAUUAUUGGGCGUAAAGAGCUCGUAGGCGGUUUGUUGCGUCUGCUGUGAAAACCCGAGGCUCAACCUCGGGCCUGCAGUGGGUACGGGCAGACUAGAGUGCGGUAGGGGAGAUUGGAAUUCCUGGUGUAGCGGUGGAAUGCGCAGAUAUCAGGAGGAACACCAAUGGCGAAGGCAGAUCUCUGGGCCGUAACUGACGCUGAGGAGCGAAAGCAUGGGGAGCGAACAGGAUUAGAUACCCUGGUAGUCCAUGCCGUAAACGUUGGGAACUAGAUGUGGGGACCAUUCCACGGUCUCCGUGUCGCAGCUAACGCAUUAAGUUCCCCGCCUGGGGAGUACGGCCGCAAGGCUAAAACUCAAAGGAAUUGACGGGGGCCCGCACAAGCGGCGGAGCAUGCGGAUUAAUUCGAUGCAACGCGAAGAACCUUACCAAGGCUUGACAUAUACCGGUAACGGCUGGAAACAGUCGCCCCGCAAGGUCGGUAUACAGGUGGUGCAUGGUUGUCGUCAGCUCGUGUCGUGAGAUGUUGGGUUAAGUCCCGCAACGAGCGCAACCCUCGUCCUAUGUUGCCAGCACGUAAUGGUGGGAACUCAUGGGAUACUGCCGGGGUCAACUCGGAGGAAGGUGGGGAUGACGUCAAAUCAUCAUGCCCCUUAUGUCUUGGGCUUCACGCAUGCUACAAUGGCCGGUACAAAGGGCUGCGAUACCGCAAGGUGGAGCGAAUCCCAAAAAGCCGGUCUCAGUUCGGAUUGAGGUCUGCAACUCGACCUCAUGAAGUCGGAGUCGCUAGUAAUCGCAGAUCAGCAACGCUGCGGUGAAUACGUUCCCGGGCCUUGUACACACCGCCCGUCAAGUCAUGAAAGUCGGUAACACCCGAAGCCGGUGGCCUAACCCCU
rnacentral:rRNA from 1 species